rnacentral:rRNA from 1 species
GACGAACGCUGGCGGCGUGCCUAAUACAUGCAAGUCGAGCGGACUUUAUCCUUCGGGGUAGGGUUAGCGGCGGACGGGUGAGUAACACGUAGGCAACCUGCCUGUAAGACCGGGAUAACAUUCGGAAACGGAUGCUAAUACCGGAUAUGCAACUUGGCUGCAUGGCUGAGUUGGGAAAGACGGCGCAAGCUGUCACUUACAGCAGGGCCUGCGGUGCAUUAGCUAGUUGGUGGGGUAACGGCUCACCAAGGCGACGGUGCAUAGCCGAGCUGAGAGGGGGAUCGGCCACACUGGGACAGAGACACGGCCCAGACUCCUACGGGAGGCAGCAGUAGGGAAUCUUCCGCAAUGGACGAAAGUCUGACGGAGCAACGCCGCGUGAGUGAUGAAGGUUUUCGGGUCGUAAAGCUCUGUUGCCAGGGAAGAACAGCCAGGAGAGUAACUGCUCUUGGAAUGACGGUACCUGAGAAGAAAGCCCCGGCUAACUACGUGCCAGCCGCCGCAGUAA